AGGACUACACGUAUGCGUGCAACGAACGGGUUAUACGAAUUCGCUCUGGUAAAACCCUGAGAAAGCUCAAACAUUCGAAAAUAGCCGCUCCUCCUCAACCGUAGAAGCUCUUGGAUAUAUCCUUCUGACUGACCAUUACAAAUGAGGAAGGUAUCUUCAAUCCGAUCAUUGAUAUUCAAUCCUUUGGCACCUCUAGUUUUGGUGCUCUGGCUCAUGGCCUCUGGUUUCUGUUGUCCAAAACAUUUUCAUCCAAGAAGUUGUCAAUGCAAACCGUUUAGCCAUCGAAUCAGUAUUAAGUGCAGCAGAAUUACACACGUACCACGUGACCUUCCACUCAAUACGGCAAUACUGGAUUUGCCGAGCAAUCAACUGAGUUCGAUCAAAGAAUAUACCUUCGGAAAUCUGACAAUGCUAAAGAAAGUG